UUGGACUAAAGCACAAGUGCCACUCCAGU
rnacentral:piRNA from 1 species